rnacentral:rRNA from 1 species
UGCAAGUCGAACGAGAAGCUAGACUUCGGUUUAGUGGACAGUGGCAGACGGGAGAGUAACGCGUGGGUAUCUACCCAGCAGUACGGGAUAACCGCGGGAAACUGCGGUUAAUACCGUAUGCGCCCCCCUUGGUAAAACUUGGGGGGGAAAGAUUUAUCGCUGUUGGAUGAGCCCGCGUCGGAUUAGCUUGUUGGCGGGGUAACGGCCCACCAAGGCGACGAUCCGUAGCUGGUCUGAGAGGAUGAUCAGCCUCACUGGGACUGAGACACGGCCCAGACUCCUACGGGAGGCAGCAGUGGGGAAUAUUGGACAAUGGGCGCAAGCCUGAUCCAGCCAUGCCGCGUGAGUGAAGAAGGCCCUAGGGUUGUAAAACUCUUUCAGUGGGGAAGAUAAUGACGGUACCCACAGAAGAAGCCCCGGCUAACUCCGUGCCAGCAGCCGCGGUAAUACGGAGGGGGCUAGCGUUGUUCGGAUUUACUGGGCGUAAAGCGCGCGUAGGCGGUUCGCGUAGUCAGGCGUGAAAGCCCCGGGCUCAACCUGGGAACUGCGUUUGAUACUGGCGAGCUAGAGUUCGGGAGAGGGUAGUGGAAUUCCCAGUGUAGAGGUGAAAUUCGUAGAUAUUGGGAAGAACACCAGUGGCGAAGGCGGCUACCUGGACCGAUACUGACGCUGAGGUGCG